rnacentral:rRNA from 1 species
CUACACACGGCUAGAUCUAACGUCUGUCGUGAAGAGGGAAACAAUCCAGACCGCAAUGUAAGGUCCACACGUCAUGGUUACGAGGGAAACGAUGUGGGAAUGCCCAGACUGCCAGGAUGUUGACUUCGAAGCAGCCAUCAUUUAAAGAAAGCGUAAUAGCUCACGGGUCGAGUCGGCCUGCGCGGAAGAUGUAACGGGGCUAAACCAUGCACCUAAGCUGCGGCAGCGACAAUAUGUGUUGUUUAGUAG